rnacentral:rRNA from 1 species
UACGUAGGGGGCAAGCGUUGUCCGGAAUCAUUGGGCGUAAAGAGCGUGUAGGCGGCCCGGUAAGUCCGCUGUGAAAGUCCAGGGCUCAACCCUGGGAUGCCGGUGGAUACUGUCGGGCUCGAGUCCGGAAGAGGAGUGUGGAAUUCCCGGUGUAGUGGUGAAAUGCGUAGAUAUCGGGAGGAACACCAAGUGGCGAAGGCAGCUCGCUGGGACGGUACUGACGCUGAGACGCGAAAGCGUGGGGAGCAAACAGG